UACAGAGGGUGCAAGCGUUGUUCGGAAUUAUUGGGCGUAAAGGGCGCGUAGGCGGUUCGUACAGUCAGACGUGAAAUUCCUGGGCUCAACCUGGGGGCUGCGUUUGAUACGUGCGGGCUUGAGUUCGGAAGAGGGUCGUGGAAUUCCCAGUGUAGAGGUGAAAUUCGUAGAUAUUGGGAAGAACACCGGUGGCGAAGGCGGCGACCUGGUCCGAUACUGACGCUGAGGCGCGAAAGCGUGGGGAGCAAACAGG
rnacentral:rRNA from 1 species